rnacentral:tmRNA from 1 species
GGGGGUGCCCCGGUUUCGACAGAUAAGAGUGAUCUUGUGCUGCAGGUGAGGCUGUCAUCUGGUCUCUGAUACAGGUGAAAACAAUAACUGCUAAACGUAGAGAAGACGAAGUGUCUGAAAACGCUCAGCAGGCUCUUGCUGCUUAAUUGUAGCUGAGCCCGGAACUUGUGGGGUGCUGUUCCUAACGCCAUGAGCUUCUGUCACAAACAGGGACUUGCCGCGGACUAUGUUCGGGUUUUUCGCGGGACUUUAUCCGAAAUACGGAGACGACGCUUUUGGGGCUGCUACCGUUUCCCGACAACCACCUCGCCCUAAUAAACCUGUAGAGGCGCCUGGCCAGCUUGUUUGGACGCGGGUUCAAUUCCCGCCACCUCCAAUU